rnacentral:rRNA from 1 species
ACCCCUACGGGACGCAGCAGUGAGGAAUAUUGGUCAAUGGUCGGGAGACUGAACCAGCCAAGCCGCGUGAGGGAGGAAGGUACAGAGUAUCGUAAACCUCUUUUGUCAGGGAACAAAGGCGGGGACGUGUCCCCGGAUGAGUGUACCUGAAGAAAAGGCAUCGGCUAACUCCGUGCCAGCAGCCGCGGUAAUACAGAGGAUGCGAGCGUUAUCCGGAUUUAUUGGGUUUAAAGGGUGCGCAGGCGGUCUGUUAAGUCAGCGGUCAAAGCCCGGGGCUCCACCCCGGCCCGCCGUUGAAACUGGCG